UGGGGAAUUUUGGACAAUGGGCGAAAGCCUGAUCCAGCAAUGCCGCGUGUGUGAAGAAGGCCUUCGGGUUGUAAAGCACUUUUGUCCGGAAAGAAAUCCUUGGCUCUAAUACAGUCGGGGGAUGACGGUACCGGAAGAAUAAGCACCGGCUAACUACGUGCCAGCAGCCGCGGUAAUACGUAGGGUGCAAGCGUUAAUCGGAAUUACUGGGCGUAAAGCGUGCGCAGGCGGUUUGCUAAGGCCGAUGUGAAAUCCCCGGGCUCAACCUGGGAACUGCAUUGGUGACUGGCAGGCUAGAGGUAUGGCAGAGGGGGGUAGAAUUCCACGUGUAGCAGUGAAAUGCGUAGAGAUGUGGAGGAAUACCGAUGGCGAAGGCAGCCCCCUGGGCCAAUACUGACGCUCAUGCACGAAAGCGUGGGGAGCAAACAGGAUUAGAUACCCUGGUAGUCCACGCCCUAAACGAUGUCAACUAGUUGUUGGGGGAUUCAUUUCCUUAGUAACGUAGCUAACGCGUGAAGUUGACCGCCUGGGGAGUACGGUCGCAAGAUUAAAACUCAAAGGAAUUGACGGGGUCAUA
rnacentral:rRNA from 1 species